rnacentral:rRNA from 1 species
GACGAACGCUGGCGGCGUGCUUAACACAUGCGAGUCGAACGGAAAGGCUCCAGCUUGCUGGAGUACUCGAGUGGCGAACGGGUGAGUAACACGUGGGUGAUCUGCCCUGCACUUCGGGAUAAGCCUGGGAAACUGGGUCUAAUACCGGAUAGGACCGCACUUUGGUGUGUGUGGUGGAAAGGGUUUUCUGGUGUGGGAUGAGCUCGCGGCCUAUCAGUUUGUUGGUGGGGUAAUGGCCUACCAAGACGGCGACGGGUAGCCGGCCUGAGAGGGUGGACGGUCACAUUGGGACUGAGGUACGGCCCAGACUCCUACGGGAGGCAGCAGUGGGGAAUAUUGCACAAUGGGGGAAACCCUGAUGCAGCGACGCCGCGUGGGGGAUGAAGGCCUUCGGGUUGGAAACUCCUUUCGCUAGGGACGAAGCUUUUUGUGACGGUACCUGGAGAAGAAGCACCGGCUAACUACGUG